UCCGGUAUAGUGUAGGGGUUAUCAUUCCUGGUUUUCACCCAGGCGACCCGGGUUCGAUUCCCGGUACCGGAA